rnacentral:rRNA from 1 species
UACGUAGGUGGCGAGCGUUGUCCGGAUUUACUGGGCGUAAAGGGAGCGUAGGCGGACUUUUAAGUGAGAUGUGAAAUACCCGGGCUCAACUUGGGUGCUGCAUUUCAAACUGGAAGUCUAGAGUGCAGGAGAGGAGAAUGGAAUUCCUAGUGUAGCGGUGAAAUGCGCAGAUAUCAGGAAGAACACCCGUGGCGAAAGCGGCUCUCUGGAACGGUACUGACGCUGAGACGCGAAAGCGUGGGGAGCGAACAGG